rnacentral:rRNA from 1 species
UACGGAGGGUGCAAGCGUUAUCCGGAUUCACUGGGUUUAAAGGGUGCGUAGGCGGGCAGGUAAGUCAGUGGUGAAAUCCUUGAGCUUAACUCGAGAACUGCCAUUGAUACUAUCUGUCUUGAAUAUAGUGGAGGUGAGCGGAAUAUGUCAUGUAGCGGUGAAAUGCUUAGAUAUGACAUAGAACAUCUAUUGCGAAGGCAGCUCGCUACACUAUGAUUGACACUGAGGCACGAAAGCGUGGGGAUCAAACAGG